ACAUUAAGCCGCCCGUACAUAGCGGGGAGCACAAGUCUGAGAAUCUCAUUUGGGGGCAGAGAAGCAGGAGAAUAAGGAGAGAAGAGCAGAGGAGACAUAAAUGAGAUACAUAAAUAGAAUGUAAUGCAAGAGGAGAGAAGAGCAUCAUGUCAGGAGAGAGAGGAGAAACAAUGAGAGAAAGAGAAGAAUCCUUCCAUGGAACAGGAUAAAUAAGGAUUCAAGGAUGCCUUCAGCUCAGCAAUUUGAGAUCUGCUAGAUCUAACCUGCCCUUUGAACACCUUUCAUCAAUAAACAUCAGGAUGCGGCACAUACAGCCUCAGAUUUGCCAACAUGGAUUUGUGGUUCUGUUCUUUCUCUUGUCCUUGUUUAGGAAGGGUGCUGAGUGUCAAAGCUGGGAACAAUGGAAAAAUGGUUAUACUAUAAAAAUUAAGCAGUCAGUGUGGGUGGCGUCUGGUCUCUGUGCGCACAUUCCCUGUACAUUUACUGUUCCUGCCGGUAGCACUUUAUCUACACGUGUCACAGGGAUUUGGAGGAGAGCAGAGACUCCUGACAUUGUUGCAGCCUCUACAGAGGCCUCUAUGGUUUCUGAGGGAACAAAAGGCCGAUUCACCCUGACUGGGAAAGUACAGAAAGGAGACUGCUCAUUCUCUAUCAGCAAUGCCCAACCAGCCGAUCAAGGAGAAUAUGAAUUCCGAAUUGAAGACCGUAAAUAUCCCUACAGAGACCAUUUAUUUUCCUAUAGUCAGUACAGGCUCAGUGUGAGUGUGACAG